AGAGAAAACAACCAAGACAGUGGAGCAAGAAAUUAAGAAAGAAAAAUCUGGGAAGACCUCUUCAGUUCUGAAGGAUAAAGAUAAGCAAGUUCCUGUCCAUCCAAACACUCAUCCUCUUAAACCAACAGGUAGAUUAUAGCUUGUUCAACUAUUUCUGUUUACACUAAAUAAAAAUGAUUAGAAGAUG